CCUGGCUCAGGAUGAACGCUGGCGGCGUGCCUAAUACAUGCAAGUAGAACGCUGAAGCUUGGUGCUUGCACCGAGCGGAUGAGUUGCGAACGGGUGAGUAACGCGUAGGUAACCUGCCUCUUAGCGGGGGAUAACUAUUGGAAACGAUAGCUAAUACCGCAUAAAAGUCGAUAUCGCAUGAUGUUGACUUGAAAGGUGCAAUUGCAUCACUAAGAGAUGGACCUGCGUUGUAUUAGCUAGUUGGUGAGGUAACGGCUCACCAAGGCGACGAUACAUAGCCGACCUGAGAGGGUGAUCGGCCACACUGGGACUGAGACACGGCCCAGACUCCUACGGGAGGCAGCAGUAGGGAAUCUUCGGCAAUGGGGGCAACCCUGACCGAGCAACGCCGCGUGAGUGAAGAAGGUUUUCGGAUCGUAAAGCUCUGUUGUAAGAGAAGAACGAGUGUGAGAGUGGAAAGUUCACACUGUGACGGUAACUUACCAGAAAGGGACGGCUAACUACGUGCCAGCAGCCG
rnacentral:rRNA from 1 species